AUAACUUUCAAUAAUGAAUAUCUCAACUCUCACAUCGAUGAAGAAUGUAGUGAAAUAUGAUACUUGGUGUGACUUACAAAAUCCCGUAAACCAUCAAGUCUUUGAACACAAGUUGUGCCCUAAGCUAUUAGGCCAAAGGCACACCUGUUUAGGUGUCAUACAUCAUCACCUCUUCUAACUGCUUUCCCAUCGAGCUCCAAGUGAGAGGGGUGAAAGAUGGCCUCCUAUGAUCUCAUCAGUCAUGGUUGGCCCAAAAAUGAAUUCCUAGUAAUGAUAGUGCUGUGACCAAUGGUGGUAAAGCUCCCGACGUGCCUCAUCUCUAAUGACACAUCCUUGUUGUCCAUUUGGACCCUAUCAAACCCCUCACAUCCUUGGUCAAUUCUCACAUCACAACCCCAGGUCAGGCAGGAUUAACCAUUAAGUGUAAGCAUAUCAAUAAGUGGAGGAAAAAAAACUUACCAAGAUUCCCUUAGUAAUGGCAAGUGAAUUAAGAAGAGCCUAACUUGAUAAUUAAGUGCCCUCAAAAUCUGAAUUACAGUUUAGAGAAGUAACCUCAGUGGCAAAUUAGGCUCAAGUCCCUGAAUCAGUGCUAGAGAAGGUGAAAGCCCUAUUUUGGCUAGACCCUAGCACACUAUGAGGCAUAAUUUGCAAGUCGAGUUGUUUGGGAAUACAGCCCAAUCAGGCGAUAAAUUUCAUCCAAGGCUAUAUACAAGUGAAAGAUCGAUAGCGAGCAAGUACUGCAAGAGAAAGAUGAAAAGGACUUUGAAAAGAGAGUUAAAGAGUGCUUGAAAUUAUCAAGAGGGAAGCGAAUGGGAGUCAACGAUGCACCUCAGUUGGAUGUGGAAUAGUGAAAGCCAAUUUGUUGAUAAACUCAGAGAGUGGAUCGAUGCAAGUCACAAUGACAGCCUAAGCCUACACUUUCGAUAUACGCAUAUAGACAUCAUCACCGUGAUCAUAGAAUGCAGUACGUGCCAUCUUGACAUGUCAUCUUGACAUGCCUUUGUGCUCUCAAUGGUAUCUUACGAGCUCUCCAUCCGGGCCAUCUUGAAACACGAACCAAAGAUUCUGACAUUUGUGCAAGUCAACGAGCUAGAAAACCCAUAAGACACAAGAAAGUUAAUUGGUGAGAUUCUUUAUAGGUACACCAUUGUCGACCUUGAUUUUUGAGAAAGGCUCGAGUGUGAGCAUGCUUGUCGGGACCUAAAAGAUGGUGAACUAUACUUGAGUAGGGCGAAGCCAAAGAAAACUCUAGUGGAGGCUUGCAAUGAUACGAAUAUGCAAAUCAUUCAUUUUACUUAGGUAUAGGGGCAAAAGACUAAUCGAACCAUCUAGUAGCUAGUUCCCUCCAAAGUUUCCCUCAGGAUAGUUGAAAUCCUUAGCAAGUUUUAUCAAGUAAGGUGACUGAUUAACGGCAUCGGAGAGGCAACGUCUUUAACCUAUUCUCAACCUUUAAAUAGGUAAGAUGAUACAAUUGCUUUGUUGAGCCAUGCUGUAGAAUCAAGAGCUCUAAGUGGGCCAUUUUUGGUAAGCAUAACUGGCGAUACAAAAUGAACUAGAAAUCGGGUUACGAUGCCCAACUACAUGCUAACCUAUAACCCAUAAAGGGUUUUGGUCGAUUAAAACAAUAAGAUAGUGGUCAUGAAAGUCAAAAUCCACUAAAGAGUGUAUAAUAGCUCAUCUAUCGAAUCAACUAGCCCUAAAAAUGGAUGGCACUUAAGUGCAUAACCUAUACCUGGCUGUCUAGGCAAGGGCCAAGCCCCGAUGAGUAAGAGGACAUAAUGGUCAUUAUAAAACCUAAGGUAGGAGCCUAGGUAGAGUGAUCGUCAGUGUAGAUCUUAGUGGUAGUAGUAAAUAUUCAAAUGAGAACUUUGAAGGUUUAAAAGGGGAAAGGUUUCAUGUGAACAACACUUGCACAUGGGUUAGUUGAUCUUAAGAGACAAGGGAAGCUUGUCUGAUAGCGUGUCCAGUGUGAGCUUCAAAAAAGAAUUAGGUUAAAAUUAUUGAAUCAGGAUGCGAUAGCUAAUAGCAACAUUAGGGAGUUUAGAGACAUCGACAGGGCUUUGAGAAGGUAAAAUGGAUCCACAACCUUGGGAAAAUGAUUGGCUUUGAAGGCUAGGCACACAGGUCCUAGUCUUAAACUUAUUGACUAUUGGUGCACUACUUGAGUUGCUCUCAUAGUGAAAGUAGGUCAUCGUGUGUCAAUUAAGGGAUAGAUUAGGAAUGGCUCCCUCGAAGGCCUUCCUUAGGUGAUGAAUAAUCAACUCAAACUUGGUACAGACAAGGGAAAUUUAACUGUUUAAUUAAAACAAAGCAUUGCGAUAGUCCUUACGGAUGCUCAUGCAAUGUGAUUUCUACCUAGUGCUCUGAAUAUCAAAAUGAAGAAAUUCAACCAAAGUAAGGGUAAAUGAUAGGAGUAACCAUGACUCUCUUAAGGUAGCCAAAUGCCUUGUCAUCUAAUUAGUGAUGCGCAUGAAUGGAUUAAUGACAUUUUCAUUAUUCCUAUCUACUAUCUAGUGAAACCACAGCUAAAAGAAUAGGCUUGAUAGAAUCAGUAGGGAAAGAAAACCCUAUUAAACUUGACUCUAGUCCAACUUUGUAAAACUUGAGAGGUGUAGGAUAAGUGGGAGCCCUAGGUGAAAUUGAAAUACCACUACCUUUAAUGUUAUUUUACUUAUUCUGUGAAUCAGAGGUAAGGAAUGACCCUUUUUUUAAACCCAAGGUUGGCCUCGGUUGAUCAGUCUGGGUGAAAGACAUUAUCAAGUAAGGAGUUUGGACAUAUGUUAGAAAAUAAUGUAGGUGUCCUAAGAUGAGCUUAAAAAGAAUAGAAAUCUCACGUAAAAUAAAAGGGUAAAAGCUCGUUUGAUUUUGAUUUCUAGUAUGAAUACAAACUAUGAAAGCAUGGCUUAUAAAUCUUUUAAACCUUUAGAAUUUGAAGCUAGAGGUGUCAAAAAAGUUACCACAAGGAUAACUGGCUUAUGGCAGCCAAGUGUUCAUAGCGACAUUGCUUUUUGAUCCUUCAAUGUUGGCUUUUCCUACCAUUAUGCAGUAAAAUUCACCAAGUGUUGGAUUGUUCACCCUCCAAUAGGAAACGUGAGUAGGGUUUAAACCAUCAUGACACAGGUUAGUUUUGUCCUACUAAUGGCAAUGUCAUAAUAGUAAUUCAACCUAGUACGAGAAAAACUAUUGAUUUGCACAAUUGGUCAUCAUGUUUGGUUAAAAAGCUAGUGGCACAAAACUAUUGUGUGCUAGAUUAUGACUGAAUGCCUCUAAACUAAAAUCUAGGCUAGAAGUGAUGCACACACUUGUUGCCCGAUUGUCAACCUGUAUAGAGGACUAUGGCCCCCAAAGACAUGUGUCAUAGGUGCAACCCCCACAGCGAAACCCUUAGAACUCAAUUCCCACCAAGCGAUAGGGAAGAAU
rnacentral:rRNA from 1 species